UACGUAGGGGCAAGCGUUGUCCGGAUUUACUGGGCGUAAAGCGCGUGUAGGCGGAAGCGCAAGUCCGGUGUGAAAGCCCCGGCUCAACCGGGAAGGUCGCUGGAACUGCGCUUCUUGAGGACGACAGAGGAAGUGGAAUUGCGUGGUGUAGCGGUGAAAUGCGUAGAGAUCAGCAGGAACACCGUGGCGAAGGCGGCUCCUGGUCGUGCCUGACGCUGGAGACGCGAAGCGUGGGAGCGAACGGA
rnacentral:rRNA from 1 species